rnacentral:lncRNA from 1 species
UUACAUUAUUUGGAUAAGUGAACUACACAAGGGUAUGCCCUAAAAAAUGCAAUAUACAGGUUAGAAUAGGAAUGUCAGAUGACUGAAUUAAUGGCUCCACUCCUACCUCACGCCAUCCAUUCAUCCACAAAUAAGAGAAUCCUGAUGAAAUUCAACAGCAUGUGCUGUCCAAAAUAACCUAAGAUGAAUAAAAUUCAAACACUUCAUCAUCACCAUCUUUUGAUAACAUUUAUGUUAACUUUGUAUCCACCCAUCUUAUUGCUUUUUUCACCUCUUCCAGUAUUGGUGAUAUUUCCUUGUAGCCGUGAAACUUUUGUUCUAUAUGUUUUCAGUUCCACAUACACUUUUAAACCAGUUAGCAUGAUUUGAAUAGUCAAUCUGUAAGGCAGGUUUCUGUUUCCAAGUCAUCUAUGCAUAAGUAGUGUCAAAUGUCAUUUUGAGAGGCUUGCAAAUUGGAUGGCAAAUACUGAAAUCUUCUAGGAACUGUAAAAUGUCAUUUUGAGAGGCAUCUAAUACACAUCUUCAUAAUUUUUUUAUUAGAUAACCCAAUUUUUGAAGUUGUCAUUAGAAAGUCAUGUAACUUGAUUGUUCCUGUGGAUGUUGUACAAUCCCAAGGAAAUGCAAGUUGAGUGGAUUUUUAACAGCUAACGCAACAGUAAAUAAUUUGGGUGGUUCUAUAACAUAAUAAGCUACUGUUUAUACCACUGUAAAGAGAAAUGGCUACUAAAUUAACAGAAUAUGCCUCUGGAUAAAUAAUUUCCUAGCCUUCUAGGUGUCAGCUUACCCAAAGAAUGGAAAUAACCUUCAAGGGAGUACCGCUGGCAAAGCUCAUCAACCUUCUCCAUAUAACCAGCUUCCAUGGCCAAAUAUACCUGCACCAGAAGAACUGCUAAAUUAUAUUUUUAUGAUGUAUGAUGUUUAUAGCAAGAGAACAUAGUCAUCAUACAGAAGAUACGGAUCAGAUUUCUAAGAACUACUAUGCAUGACCAACACAUAACACCCAGUCCCCUGCCCCCAAAGAAAAGGGUAAUUCUCAUAUGCACUUCAUCCAACAAAACAAAAUGCAAUGGCAUAUAGAUUCCAUGCCUUGACCAAAUGAAUCUGCCAUUUUAAUAAAGCAAUUCAUUUGUUUUCUAUACAACCAAACAACACAUCAUUUGUGGCAAUGUGGAUGCACAUUACCAGGUAUUCCAUGAGUUUUGUUUCCUUCUUGGCCCGGAUUUCUGCAAUAUCCCAGCACCCUUUCUCAGCCAACUUCUUUACUAAACUGCAAAAAAAAAUGUUUUCACAAUUCUAAAAGUUUGGUAAAGAAUAUUUCUGUAUGGGCUUUGCAUUGAGCAACGGAGAGUCACCUCUCUUUAUACAAAUAGCUAACAUCUGGGAAUUCUUCUGUAAGGUCAUGUUCUUUCACCAACUUGUUCGCACUCUUUAGCAUUUGCAUAUCUAGGUACUUCUGAAUGACUAAAGAUAUCAUUUCCUUGCCCAUGAAAGUAGCACACUCCUCUGCAAUAUCUAAUUGAUUGCUUUCAAUUAAUUUUAUGAGAAAGGACUCAUCACAGCAUUUGAUGGAAAAUCGUGUUAUCAGAGCCACAGCGAUUGCAUUGGAUUCUGAUUCCAUAAAGCAUUUUACAUACUGUCUUAGAUGUUCCCUUGCUUUCACUAGAUCAUCAUCCAACUCUGAACCAUACAGAGCAUAAGCCAUAUCUCUCAACUCAAUCUCAAAUGUCUCAAGAAGCUUAACCAAUAUGCGGUUCUCAUGGGGUACAACAGAAUCAAGGAUAUCAAGAAUAAGUUGUGCAGCAAGGUGCUUUGCCUCCAAGAAAUCUUUCUUUACGGACUCAACAGAUUUCAAGUGCUUUAACGAAGAUGUCAACAUAUGGCUGAACCCUUCAGAAUAAGUUUUCCCCAGCAAAGGUACAAUGUACAUACACUGGACAGCAUAUGUGAAAGGGCCUGGCUGUGGCCCAUUAUGCAAUGCUGCUUUCACCAGCUGCAGAAGGAUCUUAAACUUUGAGGUUGCUUUGUUGGUACCUGAGUUAAAAGUUCAGAGCUCAGAUGUAUCAUAAGCAUAACCAUAGCAUUACAAGAAUGAGUACCAUCAGUCAAAUUUGAUUCAAUAUUGUGGAAGCCCCAAAAAACAUAUUAUGACACCUAAAAUUUAACUUAUCUCACAAUUAAAAAUUUCACAGGAAAUGAUAAGGGAAAAUCUACCAAUAUAUAAAAUGGAAUGCUUCACAAGCUCUUUUAGAAAAUCCGCGGUGCAGUGAAGUAAAACCAGCUGCAGCUAUGAUUCCAAUAGAUGAAGAAACAUAGAUAGUGAAAUAUGGAAGUCUAAGAAACAUGCAAAUUAUAUGUAGGCAUACCAUACGCAUAGCAGUCCUUUAAAAGAUAAAUGAAAGUGGCUGGCGGAACGUGUGAUAGAUCAGAAAAUGCAUGUAAGCAUAUGGAGCGCUCGUCAGUGUGCUGAUUGGUUUGAGGGCCUUCCUGGGAAACUUCUUCAAAACAACCCAUGCUUCAUUAAAGCAUAGUUAGCCUGUACAUAUCAGAAGAAAUAUGGAAUCAAAAUCAUGAAUGCAAAUUUCUUUCCAUGAAAACUAAGAGAUGUUUACAUCGUGCAUGAGUUCAACUAAUUUAACAGAAAAUGGUGACUGAAGAUAUGUGAUCCUCCUUCACGAGAAAUAAACAGACAGCAUCAUGUUAUUUCUGCUUCAAGUAUUUGUAUUUCUACCAAGCUGUAGCAUUUUAUUUCAUUUCCUUUGCUUUGGCUGGACUAGAGCCUCGACUGUUGAACUACAACAUGCUCAAAUCCAGUGCAUUGCACUGCAGAGUGCACUCGUGAAUGAAGUCAAACCACACUGAUGCCUACUUCAGUAUGCAGCAACGAUUAUACUCUGCAGCGUCAUUUCCCUUCUUUGUUCUCUUCAGUCACCAGAGGGGAAAACAGAGCAGCCGACUACACAUUUUAGUUGCUCGCAUUCCCCCGAAACAGGAAAAGAAAAGGUCCGAGAAAAAAAUCGCAAGAAGAAUUUCACCACGCAACCGCGAAAAUAAACCCGCACAAAAACGCAAAACCCCAUUGGGAGAGUGGGAACGGCACAAGAAUUCGCAAAAUCCCCGAGAGAUUGGGAAGCACACGGAAAUUUCGAGAGACUAGGAACAAAGACAAGUAGAAAUAAUCGCGAACAGAGAAACAAACAAAUUUCCAUUUCGAGACCUCCAUGAUUGCGCAGAAAUCGCGCGUAAUAAUCUCCCCUAUGAGCCGAGAGAAAAUGUAAAAUAGGGAUACCUGCAACUAUCCCGGCCGAGCUCGCUCCCUUCCCGCUUCCCCCAAUCUUCUUCCAGGGACCGAACAAUCCGUGGUGCGAUCUGGUGCUAGGGUUUGUGGCUUUAGGAGGGCCGGAGGUNNNNNNNNNNNNNNNNNNNNNNNNNNNNNNNNNNNNNNNNNNNNNNNNNNNNNNNNNNNNNNNNNNNNNNNNNNNNNNNNNNNNNNNNNNNNNNNNNNNNNNNNNNNNNNNNNNNNNNNNNNNNNNNNNNNNNNNNNNNNNNNNNNNNNNNNNNNNNNNNNNNNNNNNNNNNNNNNNNNNNNNNNNNNNNNNNNNNNNNNNNNNNNNNNNNNNNNNNNNNNNNNNNNNNNNNNNNNNNNNNNNNNNNNNNNNNNNNNNNNNNNNNNNNNNNNNNNNNNNNNNNNNNNNNNNNNNNNNNNNNNNNNNNNNNNNNNNNNNNNNNNNNNNNNNNNNNNNNNNNNNNNNNNNNNNNNNNNNNNNNNNNNNNNNNNNNNNNNNNNNNNNNNNNNNNNNNNNNNNNNNNNNNNNNNNNNNNNNNNNNNNNNNNNNNNNNNNNNNNNNNNNNNNNNNNNNNNNNNNNNNNNNNNNNNNNNNNNNNNNNNNNNNNNNNNNNNNNNNNNNNNNNNNNNNNNNNNNNNNNNNNNNNNNNNNNNNNNNNNNNNNNNNNNNNNNNNNNNNNNNNNNNNNNNNNNNNNNNNNNNNNNNNNNNNNNNNNNNNNNNNNNNNNNNNNNNNNNNNNNNNNNNNNNNNNNNNNNNNNNNNNNNNNNNNNNNNNNNNNNNNNNNNNNNNNNNNNNNNNNNNNNNNNNNNNNNNNNNNNNNNNNNNNNNNNNNNNNNNNNNNNNNNNNNNNNNNNNNNNNNNNNNNNNNNNNNNNNNNNNNNNNGGGGGGGGGGGGGGUGAACUGGGGGUGGAAGAAGGAGCCGCAGGCCCGCAGAGGACAAGAGGAGGAGGAGAUUGCGGCUUGAAUGGGACAAGAUAUCGAUCGACCGUUUCAAAGGGAAGAGCCACGUCCACGUGAGCGGUCACCGGUAGCAGCGCCCACGCGCUCGCCUGGGCCCCUGCGCAGGUUUCCAUUCUCGGCCCGGCUCUCUGCCAGGAGAAAAUUGGUUCAGUAGUAUUGAAAAUCAUGACUUCCACAAAAUAUGAGUUUGUCCUCGUAAAAUAAUAUCGAAAGUUAUAAACGUUAACAGACAAUAACAUUCCGUUAUAUUUGUUCACUGAGAUUUUUUUGACCACAUAACAUGGACAUGAAAUGACAUUUCUACCCCUGGGUUCCAAAGACCAACAAAAAUCCUCCCAAAAUCCCACCGCGGGCGCAUCUCGGUCCUCCUCCUCAUGCGCGGGCCAAGACGCUGCCAUCCCUUUGCCCGACAGCCCUAUCACGCGACGACGCCAUCUGCAACCGCGACACCAGCUCUUCUCCAACGACGUCGCCGGACCUCCGGUCCUCUGCUGGGCAUGGUCCCAUGCCGUCCUUGCUGUGGGAGCGGAGAUCCGCCCAGGCAAGAUCUGGCCUGGUUGCCUUCUAGUGCCGUCAGUGAUCCUUGCUUGUCUACAUGAAUCACUUCUGAUAUCACGUGGAAGAACUAAGUGUAGAGGCUAAAAGCCAUGUUGUAUAUGGCUUGCCUGUUGUGCGUAUUGCAAUUUGCUGGAGCACGAAUCGAGAAGCGAGAUUGAGUCUCAACUCUUAAGGGAGGUGGUUCUGUCACUGUCACAGAUAAGCAUUCCGUCAGCCGAAUCAGUCCUUCUGUGUUGCCUAUUCCAGAUUUAAGUUAUGCAGAAAUAGACGGUGGAAGUGAGAUAAUUUUUUCCAUUGAAAGUGUGCUGAAAGUGUCAUCAUUUAUGUCCUACUAUGGAUGAAACGUAAGGUCAGGGGUAUUUUUAUCCCAACUAUCACCUUUUGUGCUAAAAUCUAACAUAAUGCUAAUUUCGGUUACUGUUUCAAUCUUUUAGUGAUUUUUUACGAGGACAAACUCUUUCAAUGGUAUUUUCCAGAAGUUGCAAUCUUUCGAUGCUGUAGAACUAAUUUUCCCCUCUGCUAGUGUUCUUUGCUGAGCUGGCGCGCUCCUCCUCAUUUUGCCUAUAUUUUUCUUUUACACUCUCUCUUUUCCCGUCGAGUGCCAUGUUUCUGUUUGUUUUUUAGGUGAAGCUGGAACAGGACUAGCUGUCUUUUGAUUGAUACCUAUGGAUGUAUUUUUUUAUGACAGACCCACAAUAUGAUUUAGAUCUUGCUUAUUCAUAAGUUAUUCUUUUAUCAAUAAAUUUAUAAUGAACCAUCACAUAAAUUAGCAUAAUAAUCUUUUAUUUAAUCUAAAAUAUCUUUUACUUACCAAAAAGUUAAAUAAAAAAUGAGCACUUCCUAUUUGGAGUAAAAAAAAUAUAUGAUUUAGAUCUUGCUAAUUUUUAAUUAUACAAUAUAUGAUUUAAAUCUAUAAUGUAUAAUUAAAAUUAUCACUUUUCAACUCCAAAAACAAACAAAGGAACAUAGAUAAAAAAAAAUUUGGAGUAAAAGCAUGAUUCGGUUUAAUAGAUAUGCAUAUAAAUAUUGAGAAAAUUUCCUAUUUGACAUCGGUAAAAUGACUGGUUCCUUUCUUGGCGUGGAACUUUUUAACUUCCCUAUUUGACACAGGUUUAACUUUUGUUCCCUAUGUCGUCUCUUUUUGCUGGAAACGGUGUUAAGUGGAUGGUGAAAAGACCAUUUUGCCCUUCAGCAUGACCAAAAGGACCAAGUCAAUUUUGAUGUCCAUAUUUCAGAAAUAAAAUGCGUAUGUGUUGAUCUCAUUCAGUGCAUUCAUUCGGCAUAAUUUUCUUUUACAAGGUUACUGAUCAAUUUGAUGCAUAUUGCAGCGUCACUAGUUAAUUUGAAACUAAAUUUGACACCUCAAAGCAAAAACAUCUCACGUCCCUUUAGGUUUGCCAAGCAAUUUAAUUUUUAGAGAAUUUUUUUAUUAGAAUAUAACAAACGAGGCGAGGUUGGCGCGUAAUCGCGCUGCCCACGUCAGAAAAAAAUCACUGUUGGAUUUCAAUUUUACGGCGUACAUUCUUUAGCUUCCGCUCCCCUUAACUGCCUCAUCAACGAUCUUGGGAAACUUCUAGCAGCAACGCGGCCUCUCCACCUCCUCCACCGCCUCUCGUCAAACAUCGAGGCUCCAGCCUCCAGCAGCGCUAAGCUGCCGACGCCUCCGCCUCCUUCCCGAAGAAAAAAAUCGCCCCUCCUCUGCAUGGCCAUUGCCCAAGUACAGCUCAUCUCCAUGGCUGUUGUCCACACGCAGCUCCCCUGCCAUCUCGCACUGCUCGAGUUUCAGCCCUGAUUUUUCUACCCCUCCAGUUUGUGAUUCCAUGUUUCCGGUGAUGUUCUCUUUCCUAUCUGAACAGAUCGAUCUGAGACACCUUGUUCAAUUUGUAGCGCCCUCCACCCAAUGGUGGUUAGGGUUUUGGUAUUGGCGAUUGUUUCCCUCCUACUAGUUUGGAGAUUUUCUGUCCUUCUGCCAAUUUCGUCACCACCAAGGUGAAUUGAUUUAGGGACCUUUUUCCCUCACAAUUGAUUUCUUCUUCUUCUAUUCUGGUCUGGUUGGCAAGAUUUGGGCUUUCUUCUUCUAUUCUAGUUUGGAGAUUUUGGCUACUAGGAUUUCUUGAUGCAAUCCUCUCUCUUCCUUCUAUUAUUCUUCACUAACUGAUUUGUUUCAUUUGAAUCUUUGCAUUGCAGUGAUAUGUUCGCAAGAGAGGUCCUGGUGGUGUUCGUAGAUAUUUCAUCUUUGGUGAGUGGCACUGUGUUCCAUCAUCUGUUCAUUUUGACCUGCUAUUGCAUCUUCAUGUUUCACAUUGCUUUUUGUCACCCCUUGUUUGGAUCAAGCGACGACAGCUGGCCAAUGCUUGCGGUGUGCUUUCUGAUGAAGUGAUGGUGGCUUCUCACGAGUGCUCCUACCGCAGAGGAGGCCGACCCAUGACGAAAUCCUGAUGGGAGUUGAUCAAGCCUGCCGCUCGUGGUCACCUAACCCGUCCUCAUCCCCGCGUAGAGCUCGGCUUCCUUGCGCGAGGUGCAGCCAUCCUCACCCUUGGGCCGCGCCCUCUGCGCAAAUGCUUGGAGCCACGAUCGCCUUUGCAUCUGUACUUUGGAGGCUCGGUCGCCUCCACGCCAUCCUCGUUGUCCUUUGAGGUUUGAGCCACUGCCGCCGCUAUUUUAGAUCUAGAGCUGGACCGUGGCCUGGUGGUAAGGGCAUUUUGAUCCAUUCAAUCAAGUCGAGAUGGGAACUUAACGGAAGCACGUAAUUCUUAUCCUCCAUGGUCUUAUAAUUCAUGUAUGCUAGAUAUUUGUGUCCAGAUUACAUUACUUAUAGGGCCAUCCAUACAUAAUGACCAUUUUGAUCAAAAGAAUCGGUUUAUGCAGAAAAAGAAGCGUAAGGUGAUAAGUCUAUCGUGUCAAAAAUGAUGGUAGAUUAAAUAAAAAUCCAGAUUUGACACUAGACAUAGAAAAACCGAACAUUGAAGAAUCAUCGGCUAGUUCUAUUGAUCAGAUUGCCCCUGAUGUUGAACAUGUUUCAAAUAAAAUAGAUAAACAACAGUAAAGUUCGGCUAGGGGGCAAGAUGGCCUCAAAGUGGCUGGUUCUAAAGGAACCGUUCUAACCGGUGUCCAAACUGUUCUGACUAGUCUUGCUAGAAAUUCUGAUAGAGUUGCAAAUGUCACACCAAAGAGCAAGGUGAUGAAGAAGCCAAGCUUUGCUGAAUUGUUGCAUAAAUAUCAAAAAAUAGCCAAGCAAAAGCAAAUCAAUCGAUUAGAAGACAAUCAAAGGAAGAGUUCAUCACCGAAAGCAAAGAAGCAUCAACGGUCAUCUCAUUGGUCUUCAACAUUUAUUCCGUUGAUGCAUAUGCCAUGGAAUGCAUAUUCAAGUAUCUCUAAUUAUAAUCCAUGGUUUUGGUAUAAUUCUUGGUCUUUAUUUUAUAAUUAUCAAUAUUAUGCUUAUGAUUCACCAAGGAUCCAUAAUUGGCCACCAUGGCCACAUCAAGAUUUCAGUUAUUAAAUAUGCUGAGAUGCUCAGAAGCUUUCUAGGAUUUUGUUUCGGCUACAUUAGUAUCCAUAAAGACUUUAUAGACCGUCAUAUGGGUGAUGUAUUGCCUAUCAUCGUCUUUAGACAAUAUUGAUUAUUGAGAAUAUUUUCUAACCUGCAUGCUUUGCCAUAAAAUAGGGGGGCAUGUGUUGACGGUCAAAAUUGGCAGAACUGGACGAUCAGGUCGAUGAACCGGUCUCCCAACCGGUUAGACCGAUUUUACUAAAGUCCUCAAAAUGCAAAUUGGACUUCACCAUUAUGUAUCUCUCGUCGAGUAGAUAAGAAUGCAUAUGUAGAAUGUCCGAUUUGAAGUCCGGAUCAGAGAGUUAUGACCUCGAGAAGAUCUGCACCCAGGAAAUCGGUCAAAUCGGUUUGCCAGGGUGGUCAGACCGGUUUGGUUUGUGUAGUCCAAGUUAGGAGUUGUAUUUUGACAUGAGAUUUGUUAGGGUUUCAACUCCAUUAGGGGUAAGACCACCCCUCCCUAUAAAUAUAAAGGGUCACGACUGAUUGAAGGUAUCCAAUCGAUCAAAAACCAAUCUAUCUUUUAUCAUUUUACCUUUCUUCUUCGUUACCCUACUUUUUCCAACCCCAUGUGCUAUUCUUCUCCUCUCUCCAUGGCAUGAGGAGGCGUCCUAGCUAGCCUACCAAGUCUAGGGCAACCUAAGGUACGCCUGCCCCAAUAGGGUCCCUCACGGGCGGGCGUUCGUUGGAUCCUCGCCAGGCUCCCCAGCGAGACUGACCUACCAUACCGGUCUAACUAGCCUGCACAGAGGAGCUGCAAGGAGCCCUUCCGCGCGCCGCACGUUCGAGUGCAUUCGUGUGUUGGCUCGAUUUUAGCGCCAACAUAUUUUAAAAAUGUGUUGGCGCUAAAAGCAAAAGAUACGAGGACGACUAAGUACGUAGAAAGAUACAACAACCGUUCCCGACAACGGCACCAGAAAGCUUGUUGGGUAUUUUACGAUGCGAAUAAAUCCGCAAGCGCACGGAUACUGUUGGAGUUUCACCUUAGAGUAUUCCAAUGGUAUCGAAUCCAAGGGAACGUGUGUGCACUAACUUCAAUUCUAGUUGGUCCAAGGACACACCAAGAUAGGUGGCGAGGGUAAAGAGGAUUCCUAAGGAUAGCACUAUAGAUGAGUUAAAGGUCGAUCUCUCGGGUCAGAAUACUCCCUUCAGGCAUCGGCAUACCCUGAAUUAGUUAGGUGCCUCCGGCCAACGGCUCUACGCUAUAUCCAAACGUUUAGAAUUACAUAGGAUCAAUAGGGCUGUCACCACCUACGACCUUCCUCUGUGGCCCGUAGGAUAUAAUACAAACGAAGGAUAACACUUAGCCUAGACACCACGUAUGCGCUACUGAUUACUACUACAGUCUAACUACGUCUAUGCACCCGUAGCAAACUACAACACUCUGUAUAAAUAUAGAGCGAUGAACUCGCGAGUAAGAGAGCUGAUCUCACUCAGAUAUAAGUACUACUAGUGUGUACUAUAUCCAGGUCUAAAGGCAUACAUAAGAGCAUACAAGCCUAUACUAUGAUAGCAAGGGUAUAUGACUAGCAUACGAGCAUAUAAGCCAAGCAUAUAAACAUAAUAAUAUACUACUCAUGCAUAAGAACCAAGUAUAACACUAUAAGAAGGAAUCACGAAUACAAAGUUACUUUACUCAAAGGAAGUCAGCAUUCGUAGAGGUACAAGCUAGGAGGAGAGUGCCGACACCCCGGCACUCCUCCCAAACUACCCAUCACACUCUCCCUAUUCUAAGCACAAGUUAGGCAAGGCUUUGCCUUUGGAGUGGAGCCCUAACUCUCUUGGAUGGUGUUGUGUCCUCAAAUGAGGCCCCUCCAUACUAUUUAUACAGUGGAGGUGCCUUGGGAGAGUGGAGAUCCUCCAAGCAUCUCAAGGGAAUCUUGAGAGAAUAUUCUCCUUAAACUCUUCUCCUUGUGCCACCUAAUGGAAUUUGAGGCUUUGAGGUGGUAACUCUGAGAUAACGUCCAUAACCGCCUUUAGGAAGUCACCAGGAGUCGACACGUGGAAGUUGAGCUCGAGGGGUGCUAGGCUAGUUUGACCAAACUAGGCCGAACCCUCUCACGUCGCCUUUCGUCUGGGAUGCUUCCUGGUGGGCCCUCGAGUCAGUGUAGGGUGCAUGCUCCAAAUUAAGGUGAUUUACCCUCUAAUGUGGGCCUAUGGAUCCAUGUUCUCUUUCCUGAUUGGCUAGAGUUGUGUUUCUUUGCCUCUUGGGUGUGUUUACUCCUCCUUUCUAAGGAUUAGUUACCUGCAUACAAAUAUUGACCAACACUUGUUGAAAUGGUUAGUAAUAAACCCCUAUCACUAGGUUGAUGUUCAUAUUUCUGGUAUUUAUGUAGGAGUUGACAACCUAAAAUUGGUACUUAAGAGCCGUCAACAACACCCCCACACUUAGCCUUUGCUCGUCCUCGAGUGAAGGGCAAAGCUAAGGUGGAACAUGACUUCAUAGGGCAAGGAACAAACAUGUAAGGUAUUCAGAGCCAUACCUAUACUUGUGAACUUUUGAAGUGUCUAUCAUGUUACCUUAGGCAGUUGAUGGUUGGAACGGUCUUGAUUCAAGUCCCCUCCACUCUUUCUAUCUUAGUAACUUGGGUUUUUUACAAUAUUUUUCAAAAGAAAACCUUACCUAGCUGCUCUAAUGAUUCGCUUAGAUCGCUCAAUGUGUAUGUUCCUCACCAAGGCAUUAACUUGCCUUUCUUCACCCUACUUCUAAUAAGGCUUAUGGGGAGCUCUAGAUUGGGAUAAAGAUGUGGCAUACCUGCAUCAUAUAUGUUGCAAAGUCAAACCCAAGUAGAAUACUAGUCUUACAAUCUGAUCAAGAUGUGCAAGUGUGUGGAUGGAAUAUGGUGGAAAGGUGUAUGGACUCCUUUUGUUUGAUUCCAUCUCUCUCCUUUCUUUCUUUCUUUUGGACAUGGGCUAUCUUUUUAUUUUUUUAUUUUUUUUCAUCAUGCUUUGAGCAUGGCUUUUUUCUUUUUUCCAUAGCCCAUGUCUCUUUUGCAAGGAUACAUUUGGCAAGAGAGGUCACACCACAUAUGGAGUUUUAUUUGGUGGAUAGAUGGAUGGGAUGUUACUAGCUUCCAGUGUAGAAGUCUAGUAUGUGGAAGUGGAGUGUACAUGAUCUUGAUCAUGAAAGUAUAAAAUAUAUUCCACAAGGGUCACAAUAAUUUGGCAAAGCUCAACGUGAUAGCAAGCAACAUAUGUGUAUAGGUUUUUCAAUAAGUAUCAAUAUAUGGCUUAGGACGGAGGCAUAUCAUUGAGGAGCUAGCUAGGUCAUUGUUUUUCAAGAUAAAUUUCCCAAGUACUAUGGACAGAAAAGAGCAAGGUUCAUUUUAUCAUGCUAUAUCUCAAAUAUCAGCAACCUAGGUAGCAUGCUUUCCUAAAGAUAUAGGUUCAUAAGCAAAUAGGUGCAAGCAAGGAAUAUAGAACAUGUAUGCCAACCAUAAGGAGCAUGUUUUCAGCCAAGGUUCAUUUUUAUUAUGAGUUUAAUCUUUAAUGAUCAGGGAUGAGAUUCAUUUAAACUCAUGAACCAGGGAGUAGAGAGGUAGAGUGCACAUACCAUCACUCUUGAAGAAGAUGGGAGGCGGACCAAUGGUGAUUUGGUCAAACCACGGGGGCGGCGGACUCAUUCUAGUGCACUGGCCUUGUCCCUUGUCUUGUUAGCGCAGUCGAUGUUGUGCAACACUUUUGUUGGAGAUCUCGAGUGUGUAUGUCGGUGAUGAGCUUGAGAGAUCUCCCCCACACUUAUGCUUGUACCUGGUGCUUUAUUCAAAAAAGGGUGGAAACAAAAUAGGGACUCUGGUGGUUCGAGAACCAGAGAGCCUUACUUUAUUGUAACUCAAAUAUUUUUUUAGGAUUUUUUUUUAUUUUCACCAUGAGACUUAACUCAAACAAGGUUGAAUUAAAAUCGCAUCAUCAUGAGCAAAAGAGGGUAUACUUACGGUAGACCCUUGAAGGGUUGUAUGUACCUUCUUUGUAUGUUGUGCAACCUGAAUCCGAUGCCUUGGCUUACCUUCCCAUUUGAAUCAAGCUCAAUGACUUACCUAUUUGGAUUUGAAGAUUCUUGCAGGGGUUAGUCCACAUAUACAACCAAUGACUGACCUAUUCAAUGACGAAGACCCCAGCUGGAACUUGAGCACGAGUAGAUCCAAGCUUGGAUAGGAUGUUGCCGCGAACUAUGUGGUGGAACUCCAGACUGGAGAACUUGUUCUCUAGGUUGCGUACUUCCAAGCAGUACGCAACCAUGUUGUCCUUGUGACGAUCCCACUAGUCGUUGACUUGAUUAAUUACCACCGGUGAGUCGCUGUAAACCAACAAUCGCUUGAUUCCUAGCGAGACUGCCAGGCGGAGCCUGUGUAGAAGCGCUUCGUAUUCAGCUUCAUUGUUGGAUAUCUCCUAGAAGAUUUGCAAGACGUAUUUGAGUUGUUCGCCUUUGGGAGAUAUUAAGAGUACUCCUGUGCCGGCACCCUCGAGCUUGAGUGAUCUGUCAAAAUACAUAACACAAUGCUCUGGUCGCUCUGCUGGCGUCGGUAGUUGAUUUUCCUACCAUUCUACCAUGAAAUCGACUAGUGCCUGGGACUUGAUCGCUUUCAUCAACUUGAAUUCCCGGAGCAAUGCUCCGAGUUCUACCUCCUACUUGGAUAUUCUUCCUAUUGCAUCCUGAUUGUGGAGAAUUUCUCCUAGAGGAAAGUCUAUGAUGAUGGAGAUGUUGUGCUCCUGGAAGUAGUGUUGUAGCUUCCGCGAGGUGAGUAGUAUUGCGUAUAUCAACUUCUGUACUGGUGGUUAUCUAGCCUUGGAUUUUGACAACACUUCACUGACGAAGUAGACAUGCCUUUGUACUUUGUAUACAUGGCCUGGUUCUAGUCUUUCAACUACGAUCGCCGUACUGACGACGUUAGUAGUCGCGGCAAUGUAAAGCAGCAAGUCUUCGUUGGGGUUUGGCGCCGUGAGGACUGGUGGUUUUGAUAGGAAGUUCUUCAACUGUUGCAUGGCUUGAUCUACCUCCUCGGUCCACUGGAAUUUAUCUUGCCACUUGAGUAGUUUGAAGAAGGGUAGUCCCCGUUCUUCAAGUGUUGAGAUGAAUCUGUUGAGGGCCGCCAUGCAUCCAGUCAGCUUCUAGACAUCCUUGAUACAUGAUGAAGCGUACAUGUAAAUGAUGGUGGAGGUCUUCUCAAGGUUGGCUUCAAUUUCUCGAUGGCUGAUGAUGAACCCGAGAAGUUUUCCGGAGGGUACGCUGAAAACGCACUUUGUUGGGUUUAGUUUCCACCGGAAUUCUCACAAGCUUGCGAAAGUUUCUUCCAAAUCCGCAAUCAAGUCGUUAGAAUUUCUGAUCUUUACGACCACGUCAUCCACGUACACCUCGACAUUGCGGUGUAGCUGUUUAUUGAAGCACUCCUAGAUUGCCUGUUGAUAGGUAGCGCAUGCGUUCUUCAACCGAAGGACAAUGUUGUGUAGCAGAAAGCUCCGAAUAGGGUGAUGAACGCAAUUUUGAUUUGAUCUUCUUCCUUGAGAGUUAUCUGGUGAUACCCCAAGUAGCAAUGGAGGAAGCAGAGUAGGGCACAUCCAGCUGUUGAGUUGAUGACUCGAUCAAUCCUAGGGAGCCCGAAAGGAUCCUUUGGACAAUGCUUGUUGAGGUCUGUGUAGUCGUCACACAUCCUCCACUCAUUAUUGUUCUUCUUUCGCAUCAAAACAGGAUUGGCAAGCCACUAUGGAUGAUAGACUUCUUUUAUGAGGUCUGCCGGAGUAGUUUGGCCAGCUCUUUUUUUAUCACUUGUCUUCUAUAUUGGGAGAAUCAUCGUAGUCGUUGUCUUUUUGGUAUAGCUUUUGGAUCCACGUUUAGUGAGUGCUCGAUCAGCUCCCUGAGCACGCCUGGCAUAUCCGCUGGCUUCCACGUGAAGAUGUCUCAGUCAGCUCAGAGGAAGAUGACGAGCGCGCUUUCCUAUUUAGGGUCUAGCCGUAAGCCAAUCAGGGCUGCCUUGGAAUCACUAGUCUCAAGGUCAAUGGCUUUUAUGUCUACUUCACUUGCCGGCUUGACCUUGGUUGCCCCUGACUUCUAUUUCUAGUAUCUCGAGUUCUGACGGGGACAGUUUCUUGAAUGCGGCGAAGACUUGCAUCAUCAAAUUUGGUACUUGCAUAGUUGUUGUUAGCUCUAUGACUUUCGUGCCGCAGUCAUAUGAUCUCUUCAAGUCUCCGCAUAGGGAGAGUACUCCCUUGGAUCCCGGCAUCUUGAGUAUUAGGUACACGUAGUGCAGGAUGGUCAUGAAUUUGGCCAAUGCUGGUCUUCAGAGGAUGGCAUGGUAUGAUGUUUUGAAGUCUGCCAACUUGAACCAGAUGUAAUCUGUCCGGUAGUGUUCUUUGAUCCCAAAGGUAACUGGCAAAACCACCUAUCCAAGGGGUAUAGCCACGUUGCCUGGGACAAUACCGUAGAAUGGAGAGUUCGUUGGGGGUAAGCAUGUCAGUGAUGUCGAGGCCCAUCUUCCUCAGUGUCUUGGCGAAGAGUACAUUGAGAUCGCUACGGCCGUCAAUGAGUACUUUGGUGAGUCUGGAGCCAGCGACUACUGGGUCCAGGAUGAGGGGAUAUCGUCCUGGGUCUGAGAAACUAGUGUAUUGGUCCUUCCUGGAGAAGGUAAUUGGUACCUUGGACCAUUUAAGAAAUGUUAGUGUUGCUGGUUCAAUGGACAUAAUCUCUCGAAGGGUGAGCUUCUAGGACCGCUUAGUAGCAGUACUGAAGCGUCCCCUCAUCAGUGGAGACUAAAUGUGAUGCAAAUAUCAGUCCCAGGAGGCUGAUAACACAUUUAUUCAACAGAUAGUUCAAAUACCGUACAACUCCCGAGGGAGUGGGCGUGAAAGCCACACCGCGAUAACAAGCAAAUAAAUAACAACAACGAGCAAGCGACUACCAAAAGACAGCACUCGGGACUACACGGCAGCAGAAGCAUCUUGUGAAGGCCAACACCACAGGCAGUGUUGGGUGCGGACACGACCUCCUACUCAAACUCCUCGGUGAUGAAGUCCGGGUCUUUCUUUGUAGCAACGAAGCAANNNNNNNNNNNNNNNNNNNNNNNNNNNNNNNNNNNNNNNNNNNNNNNNNNNNNNNNNNNNNNNNNNNNNNNNNNNNNNNNNNNNNNNNNNNNNNNNNNNNAAAGCUAGGUUUUCAACACAAUGCAGGGUUCGAUUUCAAAAGAGUUUUGCAAGCUUUCCUUUAGUACGAAAUAUAGUGGGUGAUCAUACACAAAGGAUCCAAAUUUUAUGCUAUCGGACUCCCCGUCCGCCAUAGCCCACGGCACAACUGCCGGACACUUCCAAAAUCCAACACAUGCCAUAAAAACCAUCCAUCUCCAAGUGCUAGUUAUGUGACCAAGCCAUAACUCGUCCAAUGCCGUGGACACAGCUACACAGAUAGGUUUUAACUCUGCAGAGGUUGUACACUUUUCCCACAAGUAGGGUACCGCAGCACGAUCACCUUAGUGCCGGUGCGGAUCCUAACAAAGCCAUUACCCACCUUAGCUAAGACUGACUAGUCCACAUGGAAGCGACCAAGGGGUUAACGACCUACCAACGAGGUCUUAACCGGGACCUAAGUCACAAAGAUCUUACUCCUUUUCCAUGGGCUCCCGUUGCUCACCAGCUCACCUGAAGACUAACAGUUUAGCUAGUGGGAUUUAUGCUAAGCCGUUGCCCACACAACGGUCGAGUGGUUGCACGAUGGUUGAGUUAGGUAAGAUGACACAUCAACUCAGUCCUUAACCAUGACAAGAUGGAUAUCUCCCAACAUUGCUCAACCACUAAGGUACGAGCCCAACUCAAUGGCAUUUCACCCGAGAAACACCCAUCCAUCUCAUCUAAGCAUUUCCUUUAUCUCCGAAAACCCAUUUUUCCCAAUUGAAAACACUCACACAUUUAUCCUUUAACAAAGCACAUUGUGGGAUGAGUAUUUUCAUGAAAUUUGGAUGUGGCUCGGUGGAAGUAUACUGGAGGAUGAUGUGGUCGAAUUUGGGAUUAAUUGGAGGAAGUUCAGCGCAUGAAAUGACAAGUUAAUCAUGUAUUAGGGGCUUAAAAGGAGGUUUAGGACUGAUAUGCGAUAAACCAGGGACCUUUUUAUAAAUAUUUUUGGGAGGUGGAGGAGCUGAUCUGCGAAAGGCGUAUGAGAGAUGAGGGAGGGUUAUUUCGCGAAUAGAGAAUAACAAGGGGUUAGAUCGAAAAGGUGGGGCUUCUUCUUUCUCUGUUCCUCACGGUACACACAGAGAGAGAGGGGGGGGGGGCGGCCGGCCUAGGGGCAGCGGCCUAGGCUCACCGGCGGCGAGGGGAGACGAUGGGGGAGACUAGAGGAGGCUGUAGGGGCUCCGUUUUACCCCUUACCUUGGGGAUUUGAUGAUAGGGGAGGGGGCGGCCGGUGGUGGCUUUUGGGCGGCGGCUUGGCACGGGAGGGAGCAAAGGGAGGGGUGGCGAGCGUGUGGGGGUCGCGAGGGAGGCCGGAGCGUGGGGGCUGGCGGUCCGGGCGGCGCGGUAGGGGCCGACGAUGUGGGCAGGGGAGGGGCGCCGGCGGUGGAGUGGGGCCGGAGGUGGAGGGCAGGCACAGGGGGGGCCCGGCACGGGCCGGCCGUCGGGGGGGCGCGUGGCCCGAGGGGCGCCAGCGCGGCCGACGGUCCCGCGAGGCGGGGCCUGGCGGUGCGGGCCCCGGGUGCGCGGGGGCUGGGGGUCAGGCGCCAUAGAGGAGCCGAGUGCUGGGGGGUCGGUGCGUAGGGGAGUGGCGGCAAGAGGAUGGCGCUAGGCGCCAGGAAGAAAGGAGGAGGAAGAAAGAAGAAGAAGGAAGAAGAAAGGAAGAAGGAUAAGGAGGAAAAAGAAAAGAGAAAAAGAAAUGGGAGGAAAAAGAGAAAAAGAAAGGGAGAGCCAGCGGCGAUUGCGGAAUGCGGUGGGAGCACGCGCGGCGGUCUGUCGACCGGCACGCGGUGAAAUUUACGGGAGAGGGUAAAUGAUGGUUGUUGGCUUUGGGUGUCGGGACGGCGAAAUCGCCGGGAAGAUUUUGGAUUUUCGAGAGCUCAACGGUAACAAGAUUUUGAAAACAAUUUUUAGCGGGUGAUUUAAGUUGGUGACUUUUGCGGAUGUUACAAGUACCCGGUGUGCCACUGAAGAUGAUGUUGAUGGUGUUGGAUGGGUUCUGGAAUUUGCCAUUGUCGCCAUCAUCUUCGUCUUCCUUAGCCUUGCCCUUGUCUUUAGUACCAGAUGGCUCCGGCAGGUCUUUCAUGACCCUGCGUAGACUAUAACAAUCUGUCAUAGAGUGUUUAUGGUAUGGUUAUCAUGGGCACUGCUUCUUCAGGAGCUCGCUGAAUGGCGUCCUGUCUUAAUUCCUACUGCCAUCUUUCUUGGAUGAUUGUGAUACUGCCACGACAGUAUUGUCUGGCUUUUGUUUGUGAUUCUAACAUCCCAAGUAGUUAUUUUGGUUGUUAUUGUUGGGGUGAUCGUUGCGGUUCUUGUCGUUGCGUUGGCCAUUAUUCUGAUUAUUGUUGUUCUGGCCUUUGUUGCGAUUAGACUCGAAGCUCUCGAUCUCCCUAUCUUCUUCAUCUGCCCACACCUGCACCAUGAUCUUAAGGGAUUUGACAUCACCAAGGCGUCUUCUCCCGAAGUCCUGGAACAUCCGACGGUCGUAGAGGCCAUCCUGGAAGCAAUCUAUGACAUCGCGCUCCAUGAUGUCCACAAUUGUGGCUUUCUUAUCGAAGAAGCAACGUAAGUAACUCCAAAAGGUCUCACCUUCUUGAUGUUUGACUUGAGACAAGUUGAUCCUGUUGCCAUUGCUAAGAUGCUACAUUGCCCCUACAUAGUUGUUAGUGAAUGCCACCUUGAGAUCCUUCCACGUGUUGAUGGAGUUCUUGUCUAAUGACUCGAGCCAUGUGAGUGGCGCCGCCUCCAUGCAGAUUGGAAAGUAGAUGACUUUGGUAUCAUCGUCCCCCCCACGCUGCCUGCACUGAUAGUGAGUAACACCACAGCCAUUGGACUGGGUCCUGCUUGCCAUGGUACUUGGUGAUACCUGGAGGUUUGAAUUUCUCAAGUAGAAUUGUCCUCCUCACGCGUCUUGAGAAGGCGGGGAACUUGUCAGAAUUUUCUCCUAAGUACUCAAAUUCUUACUCACGCUCACGACGGCGUUUGUCAAUAAUGGUAUGGGCGUCGCGACCUGCAUUGAUCUUGUGACGGAGAUCCUGUACUAGGCGUUCAGGCUCCGGGUUAGCCCCACGGUGGCCACGGCCUCCCAAGGGUCCGGCCCGACUACCCUCUACUCCAGUUUGGAUUGGUCUGGUGCCUCCAAUUUGACUUGGUCUAGAUAGAGUGCACCUAUGGCUACUACCGUGUUGACUACGCUGGGAUAGGGUGCGUUGAACUGAAUGUAUCGGGUUUUGCUGAUCGAGUUGUUUGUACGUGCGCUCUGUCAGUUCAGCCAAUUGUCUAGUGUACUUAUCCUGUGGCAUUGCGCGGGUAAUAAGAUCAAUGGCCGCGAUUGUGGCAAGGGGAGUACAAUAUUGACGCGAUUGAACUGCUUCAAACGCGUUAUCCAGAUUUAUGAUUGGCAGGUUUGCUGCAAGGUGCAGUGGCGCUCUGCUCUUGCGGUGUUUCUUGCUCGUUGUUGAGUUCUUCGAGCUUCAGUCUCUUCUUUAGAAACGUUGGCAGUGAGUUCAUCCUGUGAGACAUCAUCCGGGUGACGUUCAUGGCGUGGAUUUCUUUCUGAUUGCUCGUCUUCUUCGCCUUCUUGUCCAACAAUGAGAGUAAAGAGUUCUCAUUCUGUAGAGUAGCUUUCCGAGCUUGACAUAAUGACCUCCUUGGAGCCACCUUCUUCGUAGAUGGGCAACAGAGGAGUUUCCUCCUAGUAUGAGAGGGUGUCAAGGUAGGUGAUAAGACGUGAAUCGUCAUUCUUGGCCAGAGCAAGUGCCUUCAUGUUGGGCUAGUAGACGAAUCUACCUUGUGGAGUCGAUGUAAUCACCAGGCCCUGUUGCGGACCUGAUAAAAGGGUCUCCUCGUUUGGAUUCGAGUAGUAGUCGAGGUCCUCGAUCGUAUCCAUGUCGGAUUGUGAUCUGGACAGGGUAGCUUGGUAACUAGCAGCCACAUUUUGGAGUCUGAACGGAAAUUGAUUUGGGUUGUAGUCCGAUUCGGAUGAUGGCUUGAGCGCUGGCUUGUGAAAAUCAGUCCGACUAACGGGAGAAGUCGAGUUGUACUCGGACUCGUCCCCCUAUCCUCUAACUAAGUCAGAAAUUGAAAAUUCACUGAAAUUCUCGAUGAGAUCCUCCAGAGCUUGACGCUGGAGCUUCAUGGCUUGCUACUUCUUCUCCUGAACCGGAUCAAUAGGGCAAUGGGAAUUUCAAUGCCAUCUGUGAUGCAAACCUAGGAGCCGAAGGUGAAUGUCGCGCCCGGUUCGAACAUGACAAUUGGCUUGAUGAUGACUUGAGCUAUCGAGUUCGCCAAUGGAUUCUCAGCGAGAGCCCCCACCUGGCAUGCCAGCUAUCAGUGUUUUGACCUGGCAACCUACUGAGGGGGGUGCCCGAGGUAGUGUUUAGUUACUGGGGCCCACCUAGAUCAGGAACUCGAAGGUGAAUACAGACACACGAUUUCGACAGGUUCGGGCUGGUACAUUGUGUAAUACCCUACGUACUGUGUGUUAGUUGGAUUGAAUUGCUUUGGAGGGGGUCCCUGCCUCGCCUUAUAUCUCCGGGGGUAGGGUUACUGGUUGGUUGAUUUACAAGAAUACUAGUCGGAUUCGAUUAGGCGAGUCCUACUCUAAUUGCUAUGAGUAGUUUUCCUAAUCCUCGACUAGUUCCUGUCUUGCCACGUAGACUACGCCUUCCUACUCCGUAGCCUCCAUGUCAGAUGUGUCUCGGUGUCCAGGCCUGUAUCUAGGACUGUCCAAACCUUCUAGUGGGUCCAUAGAUGUAUGUAUGACACUUGCAAUAAGCAUGCCACAUUAAAUCAUCAACUGAAGGUAUAGUAUGAGAACACUUAAUCUUUCCAAGUUUCAUUAGUUCAUCAAAAAGUCUAUCACAUUUAGACACAUCAAAAGUGAAUUUCACCUCAUCUUGCCAAUUUUUGUGGACCAGCUUGAGAGAAACACAACGACUUAGUGUAUCUUUUGAUGACCAUACAAACUCAGCAACAUACACAUCUUUACUCUCAUCGUCGGAGGAUUCAUAAUUUAGCAUAUGCAUAUUAGAACGAUCAGAUUUGAUCCGAAUAUCUUUACUUCGAAUUUCUUGAGCCAAAGCUCUUUGCAAAACUUGGGUAAUAUUAGCAAAUUCAUGACCUUCCAAUCUUUCUCUAAUACGAGACCGCAAUCCACUAAAAUCUAAUUCAACAAGAUCCCUCUUAGAGAUAACAAGACUAUAACAACAGUUUUUUGUAUCUCUAAAUCUUAUAAUAUAAUUAACAAUAGAUUCAUCAUGCUUUUGCCUAACUGAUGUUAAAUAACUCAAUCUUAACUCAUUAUCUCCAUUAUAAAAGUGAUCAUGAAAUUUUUGCUCUAAUUACUCCCAAGUAUGAAUAGAAUUAACAGGUAAUGAAGCAAACCAUGAAAAAGUAGUUGCAGUUAAAGAUAAAGAGAA